rnacentral:rRNA from 1 species
GGGGAAUAUUGCACAAUGGGCGAAAGCCUGAUGGAGCAACGCCGCGUGUGUGAAGAAGGCCUUCGGGUUGUAAAGCACUUUUGUCCGGAAAGAAAUCCUUGGCUCUAAUACAGUCGGGGGAUGACGGUACCGGAAGAAUAAGCACCGGCUAACUACGUGCCAGCAGCCGCGGUAAUACGUAGGGUGCGAGCGUUAAUCGGAAUUACUGGGCGUAAAGCGUGCGCAGGCGGUUUGCUAAGACCGAUGUGAAAUCCCCGGGCUCAACCUGGGAACUGCAUUGGUGACUGGCAGGCUAGAGUAUGGCAGAGGGGGGUAGAAUUCCACGUGUAGCAGUGAAAUGCGUAGAGAUGUGGAGGAAUACCGAUGGCGAAGGCAGCCCCCUGGGCAAAUACUGACGCUCAUGCACGAAAGCGUGGGGAGCAAAC